rnacentral:misc_RNA from 1 species
CGGGGGAAGGAACAGCAUACCCCACCUCAUCAGCCGAAUACAGCCUUGGGCGGCUGCUCGCCAUAGCGGGUGCCGUACAGGAACCGAGAAGCAGGAAACGAGAGCGACACAACAUCAGGCCCACGCUUGCCGCUCUUCAAACUCUCACUGCGUCUGCCUCUCCCUCUCUCUCUCGCUAGUUACGAUGCAUCGACUCUCUGCCGGCGGUCCGGCGCGCGCGUGGUGUGGUGCGCGUAUCAUCUGGCGCUCGCAUGCUGUGACGGCGUCAUCCACUGCUGCAGUUGCACUGCCCGCCGGCUUCAUCUUAUUCCCACCACCACCACCAUCGAUGAGACCGCCGUCAGCAAUGCAAUGCGCUCUGCGCCACUGUUCCACGAAGCUGCCGUCGUCGGGGCAGCCGCAACAGUGCCCAACCUCUUCGGCGACUGUGUGCGAUAAUGGUGUGGUCACGUACGCGCCGUGGGAGGUGCGGGCGAUGGUGCUGCCGCUCUUACCGACCGAAGUAGUAUCCGCAGAGCACGGUGUUGCCACGCGAACAGGCACGAGGGAGCUCUGGAAUCGGCCAGCCUACGUGCAGCAGCAACUCCCCCGCACUUUGCGGCAGUUUCUCGAACGUGAAUACCGUUCGAAAGAUCGCGCACAUGGCAGUCAGCCUUCAGUGGGGACACCACAGCAUGGCGAGCAGUCUGCGUUGACGCAGUACAUGCUUUGCCACUUCCCUGAGGAGGUCGUGCUGCUGCCCAGCGGGCACCUCGCCCUGCGCGUGCCGCAUGCCCCGGUCGCACCUUGCGAAGCGUCGACUUCUGGAGUGGGCGCUACGCCGACAAGCACCAAUACACCGCUUGCUAGCGACGAUGCCGCAUUGCCUAGCACUGGGAGCGCUGCCACACCUCUCGACGGCUCUAAAGCAGCGGGGCCCUUUCCAGCGGCCCCGGCACAGCAGGCCUCUGCUUCCAAUACAGCGCCACCUCUGCCGCAGCAUUCGCUAGGCUCGAGCGCCUCAAAGCCUCACGCGUCGCGGUGCACCGCCGCGACACAUGCGGACAGAAUUGCUCCACCGCCUCCACCUAUGCCACAGGGCAAUAGCUGGCGCUACAGCGGCGGCGGCAAAGUCGCAACUGUGGCCGGUGGUGGGCUGGUGGCGCCACGAGCUCGUUUUGUUGGUGCAGAUGCUUCCAAUGCGUUCCCAGGUCUCACGGAUGCAGAGCCGGCAGAGGCGAGCGAGCCAGAGGCCGGCACCCCUUUACCUCUGAGAUCGACGCUGCAGGUAAUGGAGGCUCUUGCGCCGUAUAUCCCCACCUUUUUCGUCCCCAUCGAGGCUAUUGAGCCCACGUUACCGAGUGAGAUACAACGGCUGUACGCCGAGACCACCUUUCGCUUUUACCUGAAGCGGUUCAGGCAUUACAUUGACAUGCGCCCUUCGCACAACUCACUGGAGAUUCGGCUGAAGCCCGAUUUUGAUCAUCCGCGGCGCGGGUAUGCCGACGCGCGCUUCACGGUUGGCGGCUUCAGCGGCGUGGACGGUAUGCAGAGCGGUGCGCAGCCGCUGCGCCGUCCACCGCGGAACUCAGAGGCGAAUCUAAUUGGCUUGGUGGCGCCGCAGGUGCCAAAGGAGUACACCGCGCUGGCGGACGUCCUGCAGGACAUUGCCCCCAUCAUCUCACGUCACCCCGCUUUCGAUCCCCGGCUCGGGGUGACUGGGCUGCUCGGCAAGUACCCGGAGUACUUCCAAAUGUCGCAAGGAAAGCUGCGUGCGCGUCCGUACCGCGUCGCGCCCAACUCGCUCGACGACCGGGACGCCUCGACGUCUCCGCUGCCAAGCAUCUUCACCAAGGUGUUGGCGGUCGUGACCGAGGCGGCGGUGGGGAAGGACUAUGGCGUCGCGGAGGAGAAGGCGUCGGCGGCUGUGUCGACCGGCCGCCUUUACAGCCUCCUCACGCAGGCGGAAAAGGCGCAGGUGAAGACGCAGUGCCGCUCCUUUCCGACGUUUCUGCGCAUGCAUGGCAAGGAGAUCGUCGUAUCAACGGAUAAGAUGAAGGUGUACAGGUUCUUGCCGGAGUAUGAGGCGUGCGUGGACACUCUGAUGGAUGAGCGGCUGCGGAUGAACUCGCUACGGCCGGACGAUCCGGUGCUGAAGAUCCCGACAGAGAUAGCGCCGGAGUCGAACGCAGACUGGGCCGUGCGGGAGCUGUAUGAUGCGCUGCCUCUCAUGCAGUGCGCAGAGUUGGAUGAGGUGCUGAGCUUGGUCCCACCGGCGGUCCGCGAUGCCCUGCCACGCGAUUUGGCAGCCGUGCAGGCUGUGUUGGACAGCUACCCCGAGUACUUCACCACCUGGCCCUACCCUGACGACCCCUCCGUUAUCGUGGUGCAGCGCGCGAAAGUGGAGCAGCCCAACUUGGAGAAGGCCGACAUCGUGCGGAUGGUGCUGCCGCUGAUCCCGCAAGGUGGGACGACGCUGGCGUCGCUGCGCACCCGCGUGCCGCUGGCGCUGCAGCGGUACUUCUCCCGCCACGGCACGGUUGCGACGCUCAGCGCCAUGACGGAUGUCCUCGCCAUCUCUGGCGACCGCAUUGUGAGGCUAGUGUAGCGCGUCGUGUCGGAGAAGAGUAAGAAGGCCGGCGUGGCUUGCAUUUGGCAUGUCCACCGCGGCGCGUGCGGACACAGCGGGAGGGGGGCCUCUUAUCGUACAGGCGUGCUUCUGCAGGGCGAUUGAGGGGACGCACACACACACACACACACACACACACACACACACACACACACACACACACACACACACACACACACACACACACAUCACGGCGGCGGCGGGAGUUCAAGUGGCCGAGGAGCGGCUUGGGCCAAGUAAUGAACGCGUCGGCACGCUUUUCUUUUCCCUCUUUGCUCACAGCGGGCCUGAUGAUGCCGGCCACCUUCAGCGCUCGCGUAAAAGGUGUGUGCCUCUUCUAAGCUCAGAUGUGCACCGCUUUCCGGUUAUUUGAUUACGAGGGGCCAUCGACAAGGAACGCGCACGCGCGAGGCAACCAGCAACGCAAAGUCAAACCUAUCCAUGAAGGCAGAUGCGCUUGUGCCUGUGCAUGCGUGUGUGGGCACCAGUGAAAGCGAUUAGCGUGCCAGGAAAGGGGAGUGUGGUGGGGAUUCGAAGGGGCAGGAGGGAAGGGCGAUGGCUUGAUACAGGAUCGCGGUGCGCUGCACGUGCUCCUCACUAAUCCCAGCACUGUCGCCCCUUGUUGCCCUCCUUUGUUCACAUCUGAGUUCUGUCUGUCUCUUGUGCCUCGCCUGCCCAUCACUCUGCGCUUUUCUCUUCCUUUCGGCACCGCCUGCCCGUGCAUCAUGGAGCGAUGGCACGCACAAG